rnacentral:tRNA from 1 species
AAGGAGUGUAUGACACAAAAAGAGC